CCCCUUGGUGCGGCAGCAAAGCGAUUAUGUGCGCAGACGGGGAGAUACGCGUGCAAGAGUGAAACUGAAAGGAAUUGACGGGGACGCCCAAAGGUAGCGGAGCUUGUGGUUUUAUUCGAAGCAAAGAGAAGAACCUGACGUAGGCUUGACAGGCAAAUAACGUCUCCUUAAUCGGAGAGUUCGCUACGGGGGCAUUGGGAACGGUUGGGGCAUGGUUGUCGUUAGCACGUGUCGUGAGAUGUAGGGUUAAGUCCCGCAACGAGCGCUACACUUGUCUUUAGAUGCCCUCAAUAUGUUGGCCACUCUCGUGAGAUUGCCUGUGCUAACCUGGAGGAAGGUGUGGAUGGCGUAAAACCUUCAUGCCCAUUAUGCUUUGCGCUCCACAUGUGCUUCAAUGCGUAGUAUAGAUGGUUAGCAAGCCAUA
rnacentral:rRNA from 1 species